GACCUUUAGAAAUCAAGCAUAUUGUUAAAAUUUGAAUGCCUUUUCAAUUGCACAUAUGCUGAACCGUAGUGCGUGAAAUAUUGAUGGUGCAUAUAUUAGAAAAAGGAGACCUUUAGAAUUUGAAAUAACGUUUAAACAAAAGAUUGUCUGCUCCUGGGAUCAAUCUGCUAUGUGUUUAGCAAAGUGCUCCAGGAUUCAAAUUAUAACAAUGGUUGAAUUCUAAAGGUCUCCUUUUUCUAAUAUAUGCACUCCAUCAAUAUUUCACGCACC